ensembl:lncRNA
AGUUGAGCACUUAUGGGGCAGAUGAGACACUUAUGGGGCUCGGGGGCACUUGUGGAGCAGAGUUGGACACUUAUGGGGCAGAUUUGGGCACUUAUGGGGCACAGCGACAUUUAUGGAGCACUUAGAGGGCAUGGAGUGACACUUAUGGGGCAGAGUUGGUCACUUAUGGGGCACGGAGUGAUGCUUAUGGGGCACUUAUGGGGCAGAAGGACGCACUUAUGGGGCAGAGUUGGGCACUUAUGGGGCAGAGGGAGGCACUUAUGGGGCACAGAGUGACACGGCACAGAGGCACUUAUGGUGCAGAGUUGAGCACUUAUGGGGCAGGAGGAGGCACUUACGGGGCAGAUGAGACACUUAUGGGGCUCGGGGGCACUUGUGGGGCAGAGUUGGGCACUUAUGGGGCACAGGGGGCGCUUAUGGGGCAUGGAGUGACAUGGGGCACUUAUGGGGCACAACGACAACUAUGGAGCACUUAUAGGGCAUGGGGUGACGCUUAUGGGGCAGAGGGAGGCACUUAUGGGGCAGAAGGACACACUUGUGGGGCAAGAGGUCACUUGUGGGGCAGAAGGACACACGUGGGGCACAGGGGUCACUUAUGGGGCAGAAGGACACACUUGUGGGGCAGAAGGGCACACUUAUGGGGCAGAAGGACACAUUUGUGGGGCACAGGGGUCACUUAUGGGUUCGAAAGACACACUUGUGGGGCAGAAGGACACACUUGUGGGGCCCAGAGGUCACUUGUGGGGCAGAAGGGCACACUUGUGGGGCACAGGGGUCACUUAUGGGGCAGAGGGACACACUUGUGUGGCACAGGGGUCACUUAUGGGGCAGAAGGACACACUUGUGGGGCACAGGGGUCACUUGUGGGGCAGAAGGACACACUUGUGGGGCAGAAGGGGUUCACUUAUGGGUCUGAAAGUCACACUUGUGGGGCAGAAGGACCCACUUAUGGGGCACAGAGGUUCACUUAUGGGUCCAAAAGACACACUUGUGGGGCACAGAGGUCACUUAUGGGGCACAGAGGUUCACUUAUGGGGCAGAAGGACUCACAUGUGGGGCACAGGGGUCACUUAUGGGGCAGAAGGACACACUUGUGGGGCACAGGGGUCACUUGUGGGGCAGGAGGACAUGUGUGGGGCACAGAGGACUCCUGUGGGGCACAGGGGUCACUUAUGGGGCAGAAGAACACACUUGUGGGGCACAGAGGUCACUUGUGGGGCUGAACGACUCGCUUAUGGGGCACAGAGGUUCACUUAUGGGGCAGAAGGACUCGUGGGGCACAGAGGUCACUUGUGGGGCAGAAGGACACACUUGUGGGGCACAGGGGUCACUUAUGGGGCAGAAGAACACAUUUGUGGGGCACAGGGGUCACUUACGGGUUCGAAAGACACACUUGUGGGGCAGAAGGACACACUUGUGGGGCACAGGGGUCACUUAUGGGGCAGAAGGACACACUUGUGGGGCACAGGGGUCACUUAUGGGGCACAGGGGUCACUGGUGGGGCAGAAGGACACACUGGUGGGGCACAGGGGUCACUUGUGGGGCAGAAGGACACACUUGUGGGGCAGAAGGGGUUCACUUAUGGGUCCGAAAGUCACACUUGUGGGGCAGAAGGACCCACUUAUGGGGCAGAAGGGGUUCACUUAUGGGUCCAAAAGACACACUUGUGGGGCACAGAGGUCACUUAUGGGGCACAGAGGUUCACUUAUGGGGCAGAAGGACACACAUGUGGGGCACAGAGGUCACUUAUGGGGCAGAAGGCCCCACUUGUGGGGCCCAGAGGUGACCCUCCCCCCCCAGCCCCCCGGCGCCUGCAGGUCUUUGCCCGCCUUCGCCCGCCGCCCCCCGGCCAGCAGCUCUGCCUGCGCCCCACGGCGCCACACGGCCUGCAGCUCCUGCAUGGCGCGGGCAGGGAGCCCAGCAACUUCCGGCUGGACGCCGUUUUCGGGCCGCUGUGCCCCACAGCUGCCGUUUAUUCGGGGUCUUUGGGGCCGCUGCUGCCCCAGCUGUUGGCCGGGACGGAGCUCACCCUGCUCUGCUAUGGGGCCAGCGGCGCCGGUGAGUAGGGGGGCACCCUAUAAGUGGGGGUCACCCCAAAGGUGGGGGCACCAUGACUAUGGGGGCACCCUAUAAGUGGGGGUCACCCUAUAAAUGGGGGUCACCCCAAAGAUGGGGGCAGUGCACCUGUGGUUCACCCUAUAAAUGGGCAUCACCCCAAAGGUGGGGGCAGUGCACCUAUGGGAUCAUCCUAUAAGUGGGGGUCACCCUAAAUACGGGGGCACAGCACCUAUGGGGUCACCCUAUAAGUGGGGGCACCCCAAAGAUGGGGGCGGCACAAUUAUGGGGUCACCCUAUAAGUGGGGGCACCCUAUAAAUGGUGGUCACCCCAAAGAUGGGGGGCACCGCAACUAUGGGGUCACCCUAUAAGUGGGGGUCACCCCACAGUUGGGGGCAGUGCACCCAUGGGAUCACCCCACAGAUGGGGGUCACCCCGUAUUUGGGGUCACUGCACUUAUGGGGUCACCCCAUACUUGGGGUCACUACGCUUAUGGGGUCACCCCACCUGUGGGUUUUCUCCCACCUUUGGGUGCCCCCCCCCACCUAUGGGUGCUGCCCCCCCCCACCUAUAGGUGUCCCUCCACCUUUGGGUGCCUUCACCCCUGUCCCCAUUAGGUGUCCCCCCACCUUUGGGUGCUCCCCACCCCCCCAUGGGUGCUCCUGCACCCCCUUUGGGUUCUCCCCCUUCCCACCUAU